UUUGAGACAGUCUUGCCUGGUGGUACGAGCCUUUCAGCCCAGCUACUCUAGGGAGGCUGAGGCAGGCGGAGCUCAAGAUGGCCUGAUCUACAGAACGAGUUCCAGGCCCGAGGAGGGCGUUUAGGAGGAUCCAGCUGUUAUCUGCAAACAUCUGCCAAAGAUGUCACUGGGCCACGGUCUCUGUCCCAGAUUGCUGAACCAUGGGUGGAUGGCUUCAGGGAAGGAGAUGUUCAAAUAAGGAAGCCAUCGAGAGAGGAGUGAGUUCCCUGCCGCAGGAGAGAGAAGUUCGUUAUUCCCACAGACUGGGCCACCCUCCUGCUCCCGUGUCUGAGGCUUUUGGUGAAAUUACUGUGAAAUAGACUGAAUCUACACAGCGCAUGAAGCAUGCAGAGUGUUUGGAGCCUGGCACGGGCAAGCUGGAGACUCAGACAUAUGCACGUGUUUAAAGUGUUCCUCCUGUGGAUGCCAUCUGACGCCUGCUCCUGCUCCGGAACUCAGCGGCUCUGCUUCUUCCUUUCAGUUCUUGUUUAUUGGGCUGUGGCCGGAUUUGGAGGCGUGUGGGUGGGACUUGCAUCUCUCCCUAGACACGUAGAGGAAGAAUGACGCCAAGCUACCUGAGAAGGAAUGGGGGGGCUGAGUCAGGGUCUGCCUACAUUCAAAUGGCCUGCCAGAAAGGGGGACACCUGGGCCCCCAUCAGCUGAAUUAAACAGCCUGCAGUGGCAGUGAUGCACGCC